ensembl:lncRNA
CUGUGGCCCUCCACUGGACUCUUUCCAAGAGAUCCCUGUCUUUUUUGUACUGGGGAGCCCAGAACUGGACACAGUACUCCAGAUGAGGCCUUACCAGGGCAGAGGAGAGGGGGAGGAUAAUCUCCCUCGACCUGCUGGUCACACUAUUUUUAAUGCACCCCAGAAUGCCAUUGGCCCUCUUGGCCACAAAGGCACACUGCUGGCUCAUGGCCAACUUGUCAUCCACCAGGACACCCAGAUCCCUCUCUGCAGAGCUCCUCUCCAGCAGGUCAUCCCCCAACCUAUACCGGUGCAUGCAAUUAUUCCUCCCUAGAUGCAAGAUUCUACACUUGCUUUUGUUAAACCUCAUCUGGUUUAUUACUGCCCAGCUCUCCAGCCUGUCCAGGUCUUGCUGAAUGGCAGCACAGCCUUCAGGUGUGUCAGCCAAUCUUCCCAACUUCAUAUCAUCAGCAAACUUGCUGAGGGUGGCCACUAUCCUCUCAUCAAGAUCAUUGAUGAAGAUGUUGACCAAGACCAGAUCCAGCACCGACCCCUGAGGAACACCACUAGUUACAGAUCUCCAACCAGACUCUGCACAGCCAAUGAUGACCCUCUGUGCUCUGCCAGUCAGCCAAUUCUCAACCCACCUCACUGUCCACUCAUCUAUCCCACACUUCCUCAGCUUUGUUAUAAGGAUGUCAUGGGAGACAGUAUCAAACGCCUUGCUGAAAUCAAGGUAGACUACAUCCACUGCUCUCCUCCCAUUCACCCAGCCAGUGACAACAUCAUAGAAUGCUACCAGGUUGGUCAAGCACGACCUCCCCCUGGUGAACCCAUGCUGACUACUCCCAAUAACCUCCUUUUCUUCCAGUUGUCUGGAGAUGGCAUCCAGCACAACCUGUUCCAUCACCUUUCCAGGGACAGAGGUGAGGCUGACUGGCCUGUAAUUACCUGGAUCUUCCUUCUUGAAGAUCCCUUUUUGAAGAGAGUGACAUUGGCUAUCCUCCAGUCCUCAGGCACCUCCCCCAUUCUCCAAGACCUCUCAAAGACAGCAGAGAGCGGUUCAGCAAUCACCUCCGCCAGCUCUCUCAGCACCUGUGGAUGCAUCGCAUCAGGUCCCAUGGAUUUAUCAACACUGGUGUUGCCUAGGCACUCUCAGACCGCUUCUUCCCUGACUAAAGGGAAGUCUUCCAUUCCCCAGACCUUCUCACUAACCUCCAGGGUCCGGGAUUCCCGAGUGAGAGCUUUUUCAUUGAAGACAGAAGCAAAGAAGGUAUUGAGUAACUCUGCCUUCUCAGCAUCCCCCGUUACCAGAACACCCCCCUCACUUAGUAGGGGAGCCACAUUCUUCCUAGUAUUCCUUUUACUGUUAACAUACUUUAAAAAGCCUUUUUUAUUAUCCUUUAUCACCUUUGCCAGAUUCAAUUCCAGGCGGGCUUUAGCCUUCCUCGUCACAUCCCUGCAGGCCCUGACAACAUUUCUAUAUUCUUCCCAAGUGGUCAGACCCUUUUUCCACAUUUCAUGGACCUUCUUCUUUCCUUAAAGUUUGUGCACGAGCUCCUUGCUCAUCCAUGCAGGUCUCCUGCCACCCUUUCCUGAUU